rnacentral:rRNA from 1 species
GAUGAACGCUAGCCACAGGCUUAACACAUGCAAGUCGAGGGGAAACGACAUCGAAAGCUUGCUUUUGAUGGGCGUCGACCGGCGCACGGGUGAGUAACGCGUAUCCAACCUGCCCAUCACUUGGGAAUAACCUUGCGAAAGUAAGACUAAUGCCCAAUGAUAUCCCACGAAGGCAUCCGAAUGGGAUUAAAGAUUUAUCGGUGAUGGAUGGGGAUGCGUCUGAUUAGCUUGUUGGCGGGGUAACGGCCCACCAAGGCGACGAUCAGUAGGGGUUCUGAGAGGAAGGUGCGCCACAUUGGAACUGAGGCGCGGUCCAAACUCCUACGGGAGGCAGCAGUGGGGAAUAUUGGGCAAUGGGCGAGAGCCUGAACCAGCCAAGUAGCGUGCAGGAUGACGGCCCUAUGGGUUGUAAACUGCUUUUAUAAGGGAAUAAAGUGAGUCUCGUGAGACUUUUUGCAUGUACCUUAUGAAUAAGGACCGGCUAAUUCCGUGCCAGCCGCCGCGGUAA